rnacentral:rRNA from 1 species
UACAGAGGGGGCUAGCGUUGUUCGGAAUUACUGGGCGUAAAGGGCGCGUAGGUGGCCUGUUAAGUCGAACGUGAAAUCCCCGGGCUCAACCCGGGAACUGCGUCCGAGACUGGCAGGCUCGAAUCCGGGAGAGGGAUGUGGAAUUCCAGGUGUAGCGGUGAAAUGCGUAGAUAUCAGGAAGAACACCUAUGGCGAAAGCAGCUCUCUGGGACGGUACUGACGCUGAGACGCGAAAGCGUGGGGAGCGAACAGG